UCAAGAAACUUCCACAAUGGGCGAAAGCCUGAUGGAGCGACGUCGCGUGAUGGACGAAGUGCUUCGGCACGUAAACAUCUUUUAUGUGGGAUGAAAUUAUUGACAGUACCACAUGAAUAAGGGGCUCCUAACUCUGUGCCAGCAGGAGCGGUGAUACAGAGGCCCCAAGCGUUAUCCGGAAUCACUGGGCGUAAAGGGUGUCGAGGCGGUUGUAUUAGUCGUUCGUAAAAUCUACGAGCUUAACUUGUAGGCGGCGAACGAAACGGUACGACUUGAGGUUUGGAGAGGUGCGUGGAACUCACGGUGUAGGGGUGAAAUCCGUUGAUAUCGUGGGGAACACCAAAGGCGAAGGCAGCGCACUGGCCAAAAUCUGACGCUCACACACGAAAGCUAGGGUAGCGAAGAGGAUUAGAUACCCCCGUAGUCCCUGAGCGGGCUGGCAAGGCGCAU
rnacentral:rRNA from 1 species